UUUGGCCAGGGCUGAUGGAAGGCCAGGCCCCAAAGAUCCCUGAAGACAGGAACAGUCUUUCAUCUUCAGCAUCGAGCCUGAUGCCUGGCACACGAUUCUUCAGCUGUAGAACUGGCCCACUAUUUAAGUAUCCACAUUCAAGGAUAUGACCAAGCCUGCCAAUUAGUCCCUUGCUCCAACACCACCACCAAGCACCUUUCUUAUGGACUGAUCUAUCAAAGCUGUGUCUUCUGGCAUCAAAUCAUUUCAAGUACACAAGAUGGAGCUGCAAUAUUUCCUGUGGAAAGGGCACUGAGCUAGGAAUCAGCAGAUAGAUAAUUCAAACUAUGUGAC